GCCAGAGUCAUAUCUCCCUGCAGUUCUCAACUGGUUUCCCACUGAAGCUAAACAGGGUUGAGACUGGCCAAUACCUGGAUGGGAGAUCUCCUGGGGAAACCAAAGGUUGCUGCUGGAA
rnacentral:rRNA from 1 species